GGCCAUAGCUCAGCCGGGAGAGCGCCUGCUUUGCAAGCAGGAGGUCGGCGGUUCGAUCCCGCCUGGCUCCACCAGG
rnacentral:tRNA from 1 species